rnacentral:misc_RNA from 1 species
AACGCACAUUGCGCCCCUUGGUAUUCCGAGGGGCAUGCCUGUUCGAGCGUCAUUACAACCCUCAAGCACUGCUUGGUCUUGGGCUCCGCUGCUAACGCGGCGGGCCUUAAAAUGAGUGGCGGCGCCAUCGGGCUCUGAGCGUAGUAAAUUUCCUCGCUACGGAGUCCUGGUGACGGUGGCCAUCAACCCCCAACUUUCUACGUUUGACCUCGGAUCAGGUAGGGAUACCCGCUGAACUUAA